rnacentral:tRNA from 1 species
UCCUUGGUAACUCAGUCGGUAGAGUAUGCGGCUGUUAACCGCACUGUCGUUGGUUCGAGUCCAACCCAGGGAG